AAAGCAGGAGUGUAGCAAGAUUUAAGACGUAGAGGAGAGAGCGAGAAGAGGUCCUAAUGUGCAUUGCCAUAAGUGAAAAAUCAGUUCAGGGUACCUUCCUAUAGAUCCGCUGGACGGUUUGUGCAAACAGGGAGAGGAUGAUCAAGAUUAAGAAACAUGCUGUUUGAGCCAUGUUUUGGCUACUAUAUUACAUGAUGCGAUAAACAUGUGAGUUAUAAAUAUUGCAAUGAGCUGGACAAGGAUCUGCCGCCCAGAUAUUAUUACCAUGGACCGUCGACUUCUUUUGAUGGAAUUGAUGGCGCCUGUGCAUUCUCCAAUAAGCUACACCCACAUGGGGCAAGUGGUCCUACUAGAGCACAGUGUUCCUCCUUGCCUCCUGGGAUUCUUGACUUCUGGGUGUUACACUGUUUCUUGGGUUGGAAGGUCGUAAAACUAGCCGUAACAACGCCCCCAACUUCGUUAAUUUUGAGGCACGAGUCCUUACAACACCUUCUUAUUGAUAGUAGCAGUGAUAAUUUUACUGAUUACUUUUAUGAUUCUAACAUUUCUAUUGAUUUUCAGAAUGAUGAAGUCCUUCCAUGCGAAAUACUUUGAAUUGAGUGCAUGCAAGGUCAGAAGCGUGGGUUACCACGAGCCUCUCCUCUCCCCUUCAUUUGAUUCAUAUCAGUCCACCGAAUUUGCCCUACUGCAAAUUUGAUGUUCGGGUUUCAAGAGUUCACCCUUGUAGGGUAAUCUUUUUGCACCCCAUGGUGUUAAUCUGAGUUCUUUCAACUGGAUUUAGAAUCCAGUUUCCAAAAAUUGCUAAUCAAACCAAGAAAAAGUAAAUCCUGGGGGCACAAAUAUUUUAACUCCAUUACGUAUAAAUUUCUUGGAAAUUAGUACAAUUCUAUUGUCUAAACUUACAGUUCAAAUAAUUGAAUUACUAUAAA